GCAUUUUUCAUUUCAAUAAUUGCAUGCCAUUCAAUUCAAACGCACAUAUCAUGCAAUGCAUUAGUCUUGUCAUGUGCAGCAUAUUAUCUUCAGUGUAGAUCAAAACUUGGUGCAACAUGCAACACUAUAUACCGUUUUCUGUUCUGGGAGUGUUGCUAUCGAUUGGUUCACAUGGGCCUCAAAUUUGGACCAAUGCUCAAACAUUCAGUUUUCCGGAUAACAAAAAACCACCCGAUCAGGGAGGCGAUUUAACAAGGCAGUUAGCGACAAAUGUGAGCUCAGGAAUUAUUACUGGAAUUUUAACUGGUGCUGUUCCGUUGCAAACUGGCCUCUCACCUAUACCUCUUACGAAUGGAUCAAGUAGCACAAAUCAAACCUGUACCUGUGUCCCAACUGGACGCUGCACUACAACUCCUGCUCCGAAUGAUGGUGCUGGGAUAAUUGAUGUUCGAAUU